rnacentral:rRNA from 1 species
UACGAAGGGGGCUAGCGUUGUUCGGAAUCACUGGGCGUAAAGCGCACGUAGGCGGAUUGUUAAGUCGGGGGUGAAAUCCUGAGGCUCAACCUCAGAACUGCCUUCGAUACUGGCAAUCUCGAGUCCGGAAGAGGUUGGUGGAACAGCUAGUGUAGAGGUGAAAUUCGUAGAUAUUCGCAAGAACACCAGUGGCGAAGGCGGCUUACUGGUCCGGUUCUGACGCUGAGGCGCGAAAGCGUGGGGAGCAAACAGG